UUGGCUAUAAAGACAGAUUUCACUACCCACCAUAAGUUAUACAUGAUGAAUAGCAGUUUAGUACAGGUAUGAUAAGCUGUUAUACUAAAAUAGCAAGGCUGUAUGGAUUAAAACAUGAUAAGGGAUGAAUGAAAGUUACUACAGUAAUUGUCUUACGUGUUUGUCAUUGUUGGAGAAGAAGUUGGUCACAUUGGGUGCCGUCUGUGCUGGAUCACUCUCUCUGAGGACUUGAACCUUCCUUACAUUGAUGAGUUUCAAGUUAGUUCUGAUCUUAAUGACUUGCUGACAAGAGAGCAGCUGCUUAUGAACAGGAGGGAGGCAAUGAAGGUAAUGGACAUUGUCCUAUACACUGUACCAGACUACCAGUACAUGAAACUCUCACUGGUUUCAAGUGGAUGGGCAACUUAAGCUACACCUUCCUUGAGAAAGGAGAGGAGGUUCUCUUCGCUUUUGAAGAAGCAAUUGGAUUCAUGUUUGGUACUACAGUACUGGAUAUAGUGGAGCUGCUGUGAUUGGAGAAAUGGCUGCCUACCUUUACUCUAAUGGACAGACAUUCUCUUCACUGUUGGAAGACAUUUAUUUAUGUCUCGUGGUGCCAAACCAUGCCCUCGGUACCUGCAGGUACAGAGGGCGUGGUCUGGCACUGCAAGAUUGAGACUACUCUCUUUUUCCUAGUACAGUACUCCCAGUACUUGUGGUUCAGCUGGUGUUUCUAGUGUAUGUGAUACUACUGUUGGGUAUGACAGUACCAGACCUCCUCACUAUAAACCAGCAGGUGUAGCCUGUCAAGCAGUAUUACAAACAGGUAUUACCAGUUCAUCCUGCAUCGUAGUCAGAUGAUCAUGUUCUCUUUGUGAGUUUACUUUGAGGACCUCACUUAGGGAUAGGACUGCACUAAAGAUCAAGUAUUACAUGUAUGCAUACACUAUACAUGUUCAGUCUUCCUGGAGUACAUAUUGAUGAGUCUUCACUUAAAGUUACUCUAUCUUAUACUGUUGAUGAUAUUAUUAAAGAGGGAACGCCAGUUUAAUUCGUGACUCUUUACCUCUGGGUCCCUCCCUUUAACUUAUUAUUGUUGUUGUUGUCAUUAUUGUUAUUGUUAUUGUUGUUAUUAU